ACAUUUGAAGAAUUGUCUGUGGUGAUACAGACGAGUUUCUUUCCACCCAGGUCCCACGUAACUUUUGUUUUUCCCAGACCAGCAGCUAUGUUCUG